ensembl:lncRNA
GAUAUUCCCCUAGUAGACCGGGAUCCACAGGGUAUUCACCUAGUAGACCGGGAUCCACAGGGAUAUUCACCUAGUAAGACCGGGAUCCACAGGAUAUUCCCUAGUAGACCGGGAUCCACAGGGAUAUAUUCCCCUAGUAGACCAGGAUAUUCCCCUAGUAGACCGGGAUCCACAGGGAUAUUCCCCUAGUAGAACAGGAUCCACAGGGAUAUUCCCCUAGUAGAACAGAUCCACAGGAUAUCCCCUAGAAAAUCUCUGGUUAAAAGUAAUGUAUAUAGGGAAUAGACUGGCAUUUCAGAACAGCCAACAACAUCACACACCAGUUGGUGUAUCCUGAAGAGACACGUCUGUCCGGUUUGGUCAGGUGUCUUCAACGUCCUCAGAACAACGGAUAGAACGCAGUCUAGGGGUUUAGUCUGAUAACCAAGAGGCCAGUCGGCACGGCCCGUAUACUGUUGUUGCAUGCUCAACUGAAGGUUCAGAACCCAUGAAUGACUUACAUUAAAUAGUUGUGUUUUUUCCCGCACUUAAAUUAAACUAUACACACGUUGACUGUCCGCAGCAACAAACACUAUCUUUUUAAUAGCACAUAAUGAGGAGUGAAAUGGGGGCAAAAUGAGUCUAAUUCAAUAACAAAAUGAACAAAAUAAUGAAAACAAGCAAUUGAAGUUGACUCCAGCUACAACGACGUUCUCCUUCCGAUGAUCCGUUCAGACCAGUCAUCACAUGGCGUAUUCUGCGGUCCCAUUCUCUUGCUAUUCUGCUGUAUCGUAGAAGGGAAAACAAACAAAAACAUAGAGGCAGUUCCCAAAUGGCACCCUAUCGGCUGCACUACUUUUCACCCAAAGCCGUACCAGGGUUACAUCACCAUGUUUCCUGGUCUGGGAACGUCACAACGGAUCCUGGUCUGCCAGGGGAAACGUCCCCUGCCGGAUCCUGGUCUGCCAGGGGAAAUCCCGGCGGAUCCUGGUCUGCCAGGGGAACGUCCAGCGGAUCCUGGUCUGCCAGGGAACGUCACUACGGUCCUGGUCGCCGAGGAAUGUCCCUACGGAUCCUGGUCUGUCCAGGGGAAUGUCCCUACGGAUCCUGGUCUGCCAGAGUAACUACCAGUCCUGGUCUGCCAGGGUACAUCACCACUGUUUCCUGGUCUGCCAGGGUACAUCACCAGAUUUCCUUCCUUCUGCAGGGAAAUUGUCCCUACGGACUGGUCUGCCAGGGGUACAUCACCAUGUUUCCUGGUCCUGCCAGGGGGUACUCACCUGUUCCUGGUCUGCCAGGGGUACAUCACCAUGUUUCCUGGUCUGCCAGGGGUACAUCACCAUGUUUCCUGGUCUGGGAACGUCACUACGGAUCCUGGUCUGCCAGGGGUACAUCACCAUGUUUCCUGGUCUGGGAACGUCACAACGGAUCCUGGUCUGCCAGGGGAACGUCCCUGCGGAUCCUGGUCUGCCAGGGGAACGUCCCGGCGGAUCCUGGUCUGCCAGGGGAACGUCCCGGCGGAUCCUGGUCUGCCAGGGGAACGUCACUACGGAUCCUGGUCUGCCAGGGGAAACUUCCCUACGAGCCUGGUCUGCCAGGGUAACGUCCCUACGGAUCCUGGUCUGCCAGGGGAACGCCAUACGGAUCCUGGUCUGCCAGGGGAACCGUCCCUACGAUUCCUGGUCUGCCAGGGGAACGUCACUACGGAUCCUGUCGGCAGGGAACUUUCCUCGAUCCGGUCUGCCAGGGAACGUCCCUACGGUUCCUGGUGC